rnacentral:siRNA from 1 species
GAGAAGCUGUCAAAGAGAAGGUAC